rnacentral:rRNA from 1 species
GACGAACGCUGGCGGCGUGCUUAACACAUGCAAGUCGAACGGAAAGGCCCCCACCUUGGUGGGGGUGCUCGAGUGGCGAACGGGUGAGUAACACGUGGGUGAUCUGCCCUGUACUUCGGGAUAAGCUUGGGAAACUGGGUCUAAUACCGGAUAGGACCAUGGUUUAGUGUCUCAUGGUGGAAAAAUUAUUGUUUUGGUGCAGGAUGAGCUCGCGGCCUAUCAGCUUGUUGGUGGGGUAAUGGCCUACCAAGGCGUCGACGGGUAGCCGGCCUGAGAGGGUGGACGGCCACAUUGGGACGGAGAUACGGCCCAGACUCCUACGGGAGGCAGCAGUGGGGAAUAUUGCACAAUGGGCGCAAGCCUGAUGCAGCGACGCCGCGUGGGGGAUGACGGCCUUCGGGUUGUAAACUCCUUUCGUUAGGGACGAAGCCACACCUUUUUUGGGUGUGGUGACGGUACCUUUGUGAAGAAGCACCGGCUAACUACGUG